GCCACUGCCGAGAUGAUUGUAGGACUUUUUGAUCAGCCACCAGUGCACAAGUGGACUAUGGACGAGUUCCGUAGUGUGCUGGCUUGGCCUUAAGGGCAGGCACAAGGUAGUGGGUCUAGAGUAGCUGGAACCUCAGGUGGACAGGAUGACGACCAGGAGGAUGAAGAUUUGAGGAUGCCCAGGAGGAGGAUGAGUAUGAUUCAGAUGAGGAUCUGUGUUGAGGGGAUCUACUGAUGGAGGCCAGCAUUUGGACAAGGAUUUUUCUUUUUCUUUUUCUUUGUACUUUGAAAUAAUAGUAUAGGUUAAGUUUAUGUUUGUGUCUAUGCUUGGCUUGUACACUGAUUCGGAUAAUGGUUCAAUUUUAUUGCAUGAUGGGUUAUU
rnacentral:lncRNA from 1 species